AUGCCUCGCUGUAUGUCUCUCUCAAAUGUCAAUAAGCCUGGUAUACUGUUGUUCAGGUUAGUUAUCAUUGUUUUAGUUUACAAUAGAGCCCCUAGUUCCACUCUUCAUACCCCUGAUACCUCCUUUGUCCCACCUCCCACACAUGCGGUGACCUCACCCAUUACAACCAGCAUGUCCAGAGAUACAAUCUCUCUCAUCAUCACCCAGUGCCUGGGCUUACCUCCGCUGUACCCGCACCCCACAAUACCCCUGUCUGCGCAUUAUGCCCUGAAUAUAUUCUACCAUGCCCAGAAAUCUGCUCCUUUUAUUCUCUGUCCCCAACGCUCUAGGCGACCAGUUUUGAUAGCCUUUAGACGCACCCUCAUACUACUCCUCCUCUGUUCCGCGAGUGAUGUGGAGGUAAACCCAGGCCCUGCAUGUCCCCAGGCACCCUCAUUUGUUGACUUCUGUGAUCGAAAAAACCUUGGUAUCAUGCAUGUCAACAUCAGAAGCCUCCUCCCUAAGUUUGUUUUACUCACUGCUUUAGCACACUCUGCUAACCCUGAUGUCCUUGCCGUGUCUGAAUCCUGGCUCAGGAAGGCCACCAAAAAUUCGGAGAUUUCCAUACCCAACUAUAACAUUUUCCGUCAAGAUAGAACUGCCAAAGGGGGAGGAGUUGCAGUCUACUGCAGAGAUAGCCUGCAAAGUAAUGUCAUACUUUCCAGGUCCAUACCCAAACAGUUCGAACUACUAAUUAAAAAAAUUACUCUCUCCAGAAAUAAGUCUCUCACUGUUGCCGCCUGCUACCGACCCCCCUCAGCUCCCAGCUGUGCCCUGGACACCAUUUGUGAAUUGAUCGCCCCCCAUCUAGCUUCAGAGUUUGUUCUGUUAGGUGACCUAAACUGGGAUAUGCUUAACACCCCGGCAGUCCUACAAUCUAAGCUAGAUGCCCUCAAUCUCACACAAAUCAUUAAGGAACCCACCAGGUACAACCCUAAAUCUGUAAACAAGGGCACCCUCAUAGACGUCAUCCUGACCAACUGGCCCUCCAAAUACACCUCCGCUGUCUUCAACCAGGAUCUCAGCGAUCACUGCCUCAUUGCCUGUAUCCGCUACGGAGCCGCAGUCAAACGACCACCCCUCAUCACUGUCAAACGCUCCCUAAAACACUUCUGUGAGCAGGCCUUUCUAAUCGACCUGGCUCGGGUAUCCUGGAAGGACAUUGACCUCAUCCCGUCAGUUGAGGAUGCCUGGUCAUUCUUUAAAAGUAACUUCCUCACCAUUUUAGAUAAGCAUGCUCCGUUCAAAAAAUGCAGAACUAAGAACAGAUAUAGCCCUAUGUUCACUCCAGACCUGACUGCCCUCGACCAGCACAAAAACAUCCUGUGGCGAGAACAAGAGCACCUCCUCCCAGCUGCCCACUGCACUGAGGCUAGGUAA
rnacentral:lncRNA from 1 species